rnacentral:rRNA from 1 species
AAUGAACGCUGGCGGCAGGCCUAACACAUGCAAGUCGAACGGGUCCUUCGGGACUAGUGGCGGACGGGUGAGUAACGCGUGGGAACGUGCCCCUUGGUACGGAAUAGCCCCGGAAAACUGGGAGUAAUACGGUAUGGGGUCGAGAGACGAAAGAUUUAUCGCCAAGGGAUCGGCCCGCGUUGGAUUAGGUAGUUGGUGGGGUAAUGGCCUACCAAGCCGACGAUCCAUAGCUGGUUUGAGAGGAUGAUCAGCCACACUGGGACUGAGGCACGGCCCAGACUCCCACGGGAGGCAGCAGUGGGGAAUCUUAGACAAUGGGGGAAACCCUGAUCUAGCCAUGCCGCGUGAUCGAUGAAGGCCUUAGGGUUGUAAAGAUCUUUCAGGUGGGAAGAUAAUGACUGUACCACCAGAAGAAGCCCCGGCUAACUACGUGCCAGCAGCCGCGGUAAAAC